rnacentral:tRNA from 1 species
GGGGCUAUAGCUCAGUGGUAAGCUUUUGCCUAGCAUGUAUGAGCCACUGAGUUCAAUCCUCAGCACCUCA